rnacentral:rRNA from 1 species
AGAGAGUUUUGAUCCUGGCUCAGAGUGAGCGCGGGCGGUAGGCCUAACACAUACAAGUCGAGCGGGAGCACAAAGGAGCUUGUUCCUUGGGUGGCGAGUGGCGGACGGGUGAGGAAUACAUCGGAAUCUGCUCUGUCGUGGGGGAUAACUUCGGGAAACUUUCGCUAAUACCGCAUACGACCUACGGGUGAAAGCAGGGGAUCUUCGGGCCUUGCGCGAUUGAAUGAGCCGAUAUCGGAUUAGCUAGUUGGCGGGGUAAAGGCUCACCAAGGCGACGAUCCGUAGCUGGUCUGAGAGGAUGAUCAGCCACACUGGAACUGAGACACGGUCCAGACUCCUACGGGAGGCAGCAGUGGGGAAUAUUGGACAAUGGGCGCAAGCCUGAUCCAGCCAUACCGCGUGGGUGAAGAAGGCCUUCGGGUUGUAAAGCCCUUUUGCGGGAAAGAAAUCCCGGUGGUUAAUACCC